rnacentral:rRNA from 1 species
UCUGGCGAUCAUAGCGGAGAGGUCACACCCGAACCCAUCUCGAACUCGGAAGUUAAGCUUUCCAGCGAUUUGAAUUGUACUGCCUUUGGGCGGGAACUUCAUGACGUUGCCAGGU